AUGAAGCCACGCGUGACGUCAUCACGCACUUACGCACGCACUAGCCGCCAGGAGACGCUGUUCAGUUUACGGGUCCUGACGCCCGCUAGCCCACCAGGCCAGCAGGGGAGCUGGAGACCGGCAGCCUGGACAAACGACCGGAAGGAGGAAAAGGAACCGGAGGGAGGAAAAAGAAGAGGGGCGGGACAAGGCCAUCAGGCAGGAGUUUUAAGCUCAGAGCUGCGACACCAGCAGGCCCGGCACAUCCUGCCCACGCGGCGCAGUGCUGCAGCUUCCCUCUGGUCACGGGUCUGGCCGUCGGCUCGCCAAUUCCUCCAGCUUCCAUGGGACUCUCCGGGUGUUAGCACUGCAAGUUCCUCAGCAAACUGGGACUGUCGGUCGCCUACCUGGCAGCCAGUGAUAAGAAACUGGAAGGCCCUGUUGCUCUCACUGGUAGUUAGCUACCUCUUUACCAACCUCGGUGUGAGAUCCUGA
rnacentral:lncRNA from 13 species